GUGAACAUUGGAAGUGAUGAGAUGGUUAGCAUGAAUGAGAUGGCUGAAAUUAUUCUCAGCUUUGAGAACAAGAAUCUCCCCAUUCAUCACAUUCCU
rnacentral:sRNA from 1 species